rnacentral:rRNA from 1 species
CCUACGGGGGGCUGCAGUAGGGAAUAUUGCACAAUGGAGGAAACUCUGAUGCAGCGACGCCGCGUGAGUGAUGAAGGCCUUCGGGUUGUAAAGCUCUGUCGCCCGGGAAUAAGACAUUGAAUGUACCGUGCAAGAAAGGAUCGGCUAACUUCGUGCCAGCAGCCGCGGUAAGACGAGGGCUCCACGCGUUGUUCGGAAUUAUUGGGCGUAAAGCGGGUGCAUGUGGCUCUGUAAGUCAGGUGUGAAAUCCCAGGGCUCAACCCUGGAAGUGCAUUUGAUACUGCAGAGCUUGAGUGCUGGAGAGGUAAGUAGAAUACCUAGUGUAGUGGUGAAAUACGUAGAUAUUAGGUGGAAUACCGGAGGCGAAGGCGGCUUACUGGCCAGACACUGACACUCAGACCCGAAAGCGUGGGGAUCAAACAGGAUUAGAUACCCCAGUAGUC